UGGUGGAGUGAUUUGUCUGGUUAAUUCCGUCAACGAACGAGACCCCUGCCCGCUAAAUAGUUCCACGGAUGAAUAUUUCAUCGGCGAGAGCUUCUUAGAGGGACAUCCGUCUACUAGGCGGAGGAAGAUAGGGGCAAUAACA
rnacentral:rRNA from 1 species